GACGAACGCUGGCGGCGUGCUUAACACAUGCAAGUCGAACGGAAAGGCCCUGCUUGCAGGGUACUCGAGUGGCGAACGGGUGAGUAACACGUGGGUGAUCUGCCCUGCACUUCGGGAUAAGCCUGGGAAACUGGGUCUAAUACCGGAUAGGAGCCAUUUUUAGUGUGAUGGUUGGAAAGUUUUUUCGGUGUAGGAUGAGCUCGCGGCCUAUCAGCUUGUUGGUGGGGUAAUGGCCUACCAAGGCGGCGACGGGUAGCCGGCCUGAGAGGGUGGACGGCCACAUUGGGACUGAGAUACGGCCCAGACUCCUACGGGAGGCAUCAGUGGGGAAUAUUGCACAAUGGGCGCAAGCCUGAUGCAGCGACGCCGCGGGGGGGAUGACGGCCUUCGGGUUGUAAACUCCUUUCGCUAGGGACGAAGCUUUUUGUGACGGUACCUAGAUAAGAAGCACCGGCUAACUACGUG
rnacentral:rRNA from 1 species